rnacentral:rRNA from 2 species
GGCGGCCUUAGCGCGGUGGUCCCACCUGACCCCAUGCCGAACUCAGAAGUGAAACGCCGUAGCGCCGAUGGUAGUGUGGGGUCUCCCCAUGCGAGAGUAGGGAAC